rnacentral:rRNA from 1 species
UACAGAGGGUGCAAGCGUUAAUCGGAGUUACUGGGCGUAAAGGGCGCGUAGGCGGUAAGAUGUGUGUGGUGUGAAAGCCCCGGGCUUAACCUGGGAAGUGCACCGCAAACUAUCUAACUAGAGUAUAUGAGAGGGUGGCGGAAUUUCCGGUGUAGCGGUGAAAUGCGUAGAGAUCGGAAGGAACGUCAAUGGCGAAGGCAGCCACCUGGCAUAAUACUGACGCUGAGGCGCGAAAGCGUGGGGAGCGAACAGG